rnacentral:rRNA from 1 species
UACAGAGACUGCAAGCGUUAUUCGGAUUCACUGGGCGUAAAGGGUGCGCAGGCGGUCGGGUGUGUCAGAUGUGAAAUCCCGAGGCUCAACCUCGGAACUGCGUCUGAAACUACUCGACUAGAGUACUGGAGAGGGUAACGGAAUUCACGGUGUAGCAGUGAAAUGCGUAGAUAUCGUGAGGAACACCAGAGGCGAAGGCGGGUCUCUGGGCCGAAACUGACGCUGAGGAGCGAAAGCGUGGGGAGCAAACAGG